AUUCCACACUAUAAGGGCACUUUGUAUAAAAACGAUGCAACAACAACAACAACAAAGGCAUCAGAGUGCCUGUCAACCCUAUUAUUAGAGCUAGUGCUAUAAAUGUCGCUCAUCUUCUAAAUAACGAUUCACGAGGCUGAUUUUAAUAUUAUGAUUACUACAAUCUUGGGGGAUAAAAGACGAGUCGUCUAACCAAGAAAUGGGUCAUGGUGAAUUUAAAGUUGGAAAACAAAAAGGAUGCUGCCUUCACGGACACGCCCUGCUGCCAGAGCGUGCCAUCUCCAUCGUCUAGUUCGCUUAAAUAGUAGCCACCGAUUCCCAUGCGUUAAAAUCAUGCAGAGAAUGCCAGAAUAAAAACUUCACGUUUUUAUUCUGGUAUUUAGAAAUGUGUUUUUGAGCUGAGCUGAGCUCGCCUUCGGUUCAUCUCUGCAGACAAAGACAGUCUACCUACCCGGCAUGUCUGCAAAAGUGGCUCAUGCGCAGGAUGCGCACCACCAUUCCACAGCGAAGCCCCUGAUCCAGUGCUUUAAGUGCGGGCAGCCAUGCAAGGGUGAGGUGCUGCGGGUGCAGAACAAGCACUUCCACCUAAAGUGCUUCACCUGUAAAGCGUGCGGCUGUGACCUGGCCCAGGGCGGCUUCUUCAUGAAGAAUGGAGAUUAUCUGUGCACAGUGGACUACCAACGCAUGCACGGCACUCGCUGCAAUGGAUGCGGGGACUUUGUGGAGGGGGAAGUGGUCACUGCACUGGGCAAGACCUACCACCCUGCCUGCUUUGUCUGCACAGUCUGCAAGCGGCCGUUCCCAGCUGGAGACAGGGUGACCUUUAACGGGAAGGACUGUCUGUGUCAGUACUGUGUUGAGCCCAUGUCUCCAGGACCAAAGGACAUCCUGGACACCAGCAAUUGUGCGGGAUGCGGACGGGAUAUUAAGAACGGACAGGCUCUCCUAGCAUUGGAUCAACAGUGGCAUCUGGGCUGCUUCAAGUGUAAGGCCUGCGGGAAAGUGCUCACUGGGGAGUACAUCAGCAAGGACGGUGCACCGUACUGUGAGAAGGACUACCAGAUUCAUUUCGGAGUGCAGUGUGAGGCGUGCCAUCAGUUCAUUACAGGCAAAGUCCUUGAGGCAGGAGAUAAACAUUACCACCCCAGCUGUGCGAGAUGCAGCAGGUGCAAUCAGAUGUUCACGGAAGGAGAAGAGAUGUACCUGCAAGGGUCAACAGUGUGGCAUCCUGCCUGCAAGAACACAACAAGAACAGAGGAGAGGCACAGGGAGAGGCCUAUGAGGUCGUCAUCUGAGAGUAUUUGUUCCAGACCUGGUUCAAGCAUACCUGGCUCACCGGGCCACACAAUCUAUGCAAAAGUAGACAAUGAGAUUCUUGAUUACAGAGACCUAGCUGCCAUUCCAAAAGUCAAAGCAAUUUAUGACAUUGAGCGCCCUGACCUUAUUACCUAUGAACCCAUGUACACCACCUCCCUGGAGGAGAGAGAGGAGAGACGUGAAAGUGUAGGAGAGCUUCUCAAUGCCAGGAGGGAGCGCUCACCCUUGCCUGAUGAAAAGGGUUUUAGAACCAUGUCUCCAGCCCAAUCCAAUGAGGGAUGUUAUGACAAAAGAGAACGCAUUCUCCAAAGAUCCACCAGUCAGGGCUCCUUAGGCUCGCCAGUUUAUAAUCGCCAUGGUUACACCCCCACUCUAUCACGGUCCCCACAGCAUUUUCACAGGCCAGAUCAGGGCAGUAACAUCUACAGGAAACCACCCAUCUACAAACAAUACGCUGCCAUAGCACGCCAAAGCAAGUCGGCUGAUGACAUCAUCAGAUCUGCCACCUUCCCUGCUGCCCAUGCUCCCUCUCCAGAUGACAGCGCACAGAGUGAGGGUGAUUGUUGGCCCUCCUCUGACGCUGCAUUAGAGGGAAGAAGACGAUCCAGAGAAGAAGAGGACGAAGAUGCCUUAAAAAGAAAGCAGCUUCAGGAAGAACACCUCAACAAGAUUCAGUCGGGUUUGGGAAAGCUAAUUCUCAGGGAGGAGAUGGAGAAAGAACAGAUUAGGGAACGCCACACAAGGAGUGUGUCUGCUCAGCGCUAUGACAUCAAGCAGGAUAACGGUGAUGCAGAGCUAACAUCUCCAACGAGAACAAACUCUUUGCCUGGGUAUGGGAGGAAUGGGCUACACCGGCCCCAGUCAACAGAUUUCACACAGUACAACUGCUACGGUGACAUGUGCGGAGGGGGCAAAGUUGCUGUGCAUUUCGAAGUAGCCGCUUCCUGGCUCUCAGAGUGUGUCGUGAGGGACAAAAGUGUUCGCUCAUACUAGUUGCCUGAAAGGAGAUGUGACGGCAAAACCAUUAACUGUGAGUCUCGUUUUUCUGUCCCAUUUUGUCCUCCAGAGUUUCAGGUAUGUCGGCCAUCUGCUUUUUCACACGGCAUGCUUUCUCACCUUACGCCACAGAUUUCCUUGCAGUAGGCAUCUUGCCAUGAAUGCACACUGUCCACUUGUGCUACAUGCUUGUGUUGUCGUUGGACAUGUUGCUAUACUGUAUGUCAUUAAGACGUCACCUACGGGGCAUGCAGUCAUUUCAAAUGCACUGCCCGGUAGCUGAGCAUCUGUACUCUACGUGCAAAGUGCAAGCACCACCUCAUGUGUCUUUUUUUUGUGUGUGUGUGUCUGUCUUCCAACGUCAUGACUUGACUUAAAUGUUCAGUCUUGGAAAUAUUAUUUCAAAAUUCACAUCAGGGAAGCAUAAACAUACAGUGGAACAACAACUGCCCAUCUUGAAUGUUAGGAUCCUGCGCAGUAGUCAAGCUCCUCGCUCCAUCCAGUGAAAAGUGUGCCCACCGUCAUAAAACGACAACAUACUCAUGCCAUUAACCCUGCAGUCCCCUCCCACUAUAUUAUAUUUAUGUAUGUUCUAUUCUUUAGCACAUUAAGGAUGGCCGAGCAGCACUUGCAAGGAUGGACAGGGGAGUAUCUAUGCCUAAUAUGUUGGAGCCCAAAGCAAGUAUCUUCUUCUUUUUGUACUGAUGGCAACAAUGUGAACUACACUAUAUGGACAAAAGUAUUGAGACACACAUCAUUGUCGGUUGCCUAAUAAAUCAGGGGUUGGAAUUGACUCCUUUACGUUCUCUUGAAUUUUAAUGGUCGUCCUCAUCGGUCUUUGAAACGUUGUGUAAAACAUUGGAAAGUACCUCAAAUGAAAAACAAAAAAACAUUUUUAAAGAGUUGAAUAUUUUUUACUCAUGGUUUAAAAGUGUGUGUGUUGCCACGUUGCACACUGCAUGGUAGGAUAGUAAGUAUCUAUGUUACCUUCCUUUACCAGCUUCCUGCUUAUGUGAGAGAAUCUGUAGAAUAAAUAAAUAAAUAAAUGAAUGAAAUUGUAAAAGUAAAUAAAAUUGAAUACAAUUAAUUCUGAGAAGCAAGUUGAUUCUUAACGGGUGACAGGUGGCAAUGUUUUAAUUAACAUUCAUACAAAUAUGAAGAGAAGUUAAUUACUGUAUCCAUUCAUCCAUUCAUUCAUCUUUUGCUCCUCCCUAUCGUCAAAAGGGUCAUGGGUGUGCUGGAGCCUAUCUCAGCUGACUUUGGCUGAGAGGCAGGGGUGUACUGUACAAAGUAAAAAUAACAUUGGACGGCACUGUUGUAUCAAUAUUUUUUUGUGUUUGAAUCUCCUCUCAAGCCAUUAUUUAAAAAAAAAACAUUUGUGUUAGGUUUAGUGACAAUUUUAAAUUGCUUAUAGUUAUGAAUUUGCGUGCAUGCUACUUUGACAAAAUUUUAUGUGCCCUGUGACCUACUGCACUGCAUUGAAAUACAGAAGGACAGCAGCCCAAGGUUCGUAAAACCCCUUUCGAAGGCUAUAAAAAAAUAACAAAAUAAAUCGUCAAAGGUUCAUUUCAGGUCUAUCUUUCCAAUGUUUUUGCUAUUAAAAAUGCAUCAUCUCGUUAAUUCAUUUACAUGCCAUUUUGGCCAUGCUUCCAUGUUUGGGAACGGUUUGAGGAAGGCCCUUUUCUGUUGUAACAUGACUUGCAAAAAGUAAGGUUUAUAAAUGUCUACUUGGAUGUGCUUGGUGUGUGUGCGGUGGGGUGGGGGGGGACAUCAAACACUCUUGGGAUGAACUACAACCACAACCAAAAUUACGUCAUAGCCAGACCCCCUCUUAUGUCCACCAACAAUGACUGCUAAAUUCACAAGUGUCGUUCUCAAAUACCAACAUUCUCCCCAUACACUCCAAAGUUUUAAUAGCCAGGGGUCCCAAUACUUGUGCUCAUAUAUUGUAGGUUUAAAAAAAAAAAAAAAUCUAAUGAUCACUAAAGGUGAAAGUUUUGUUUAUCUUACUAACAAAAUAUUUGGACAAUGUGCGACGUUUUCAAACUAGAAAUAGUAGCAUGGAUUGGAUGUCAAUUACAGUGUGCUCCCUAUAGUGCAGGGGCAUCGUACCGUAUUUGAACACUCAAAUUUGAGAAGUUCCAGAUUUAGCAUGCCGCUUCAGGAGCUGUAGUCACUCUAGUGCUUAGCAUGCCAGCUUUUCAUUUUUCAUCUGCACAUAGCUUAUGCAUAGCUGUAUGUGCCAUACAGUGAAGAAGCCAAUGCCUAAAACUCCAUGUAAAACACUCAUACCCCUAUAAACUAGAACUCCCAUAUCGGAAGGGGAGAUGAAAUAUUCCAGGACUGAUAUAGUUCUAAUCCAGACUACAUAUUUUCCCCUCUGAAGCGAUCUCCCUGGAGUCUCAAACACCUCCUCUGCCUUCUCUGUUAUGUCCUCGUGGCUUUCUCAGAUAAUUCAUUAUUUCUUGUCUUGGCCAUUUUGAUAUCGUCCACAAAAUGGGUGCCCUUCAGUAUGCCCUUUAGGUUGGGAAAGAGGGGGAUAAAAAUCACAUGGCGUCAGGUGAGUCGGGAGGUUGCUCCAGCACUGCAAUAUUCUUCGUGACCAGGAACUGUCAGAGGCUCCUGUGUGCUUAAAAGGCCCAGCAUAAAACAUUUUUUGGGCUAACGCAUUCUGCCCUCUAGUUAAGAUGAUCAUUUGCACACCUCGCCAUUUAUGUUCUCUGGUUGGAGUAACCCUGAAAUUUGGGCUUUCCCUCUCUUAAGGGCCGAGCGUGUAUUCUGCCAAAGACUUAAUCACCUUUCCUCAUCCACAGUCCAGAGGCUGUUUGUAACUCCUGGACUUUUAUGAUGUUAUUGGCCAGAUAUUACUUUUUGAAAAAAAUCCAAAUAUAUUAUGUUAUGGGACAUUAUUAUAUUAUGGCCUGUUCUUAUGUUAUGGGCUACUACGGCAUGUGGAAAAAUGUUUAAUGGGUCCAGGGAGCUGAGGUCACAUUUACAGCAUAUACUCCAGGGCGAUUACAAUGAAGGGGAAAACGUAGUUGGUUUAGAAAUAUCUUUAUUGACAUUGAUCCUGGAACGUUUCUGACACACCUCAUAAGGAGUGUAAACUAAUGUUGCUUGUCAAAAACAUCACCAGAACAUUGAUUUGCCACCUUCUUCUCAUAUGCACAGAGAAUUAUUCAGAUGGUAGUUUAAUUUCCCAGCAUUUUUUAUGUUUUAUUUUUCAGUUUGGAUGAAAUUGAUUUACAAUCCCACCCUUACAUAACUGUGUCUACGUGUUGCACGUUAGAGUAUGCACACCAUAGCACCCGACCAGCAUUUUCCCCCAAAUAAACAACUGCUUUCACCGUCAGUCAGCCUCCUGUCACAUACGUGUUCUCCUGCCCAGUGUUCCCUCUGUCACUCUUACAACAACCGUUACAUACAAUUAUUGUUAUUUUGUCAAUUAAAUGGGUUAUUACUUAAGCAACGUGGGUAUGUGAGCCUGUGCACUGAUGAAUGUCUCCCUCUGAAGGUGUAUCCCUAUGAAAUGCUCAUGAUAACCAGUAGAGGGAGAGCUAAACUGCCCAGGGAUGUGGACAGAACCAGACUGGAGCGCCACUUAGCACCUGAAACGUUCUUUGACAUCUUUGGAAUGGAGAUCCAGGAGUUUGACAGGCUUC